GACGAACGCUGGCGGCGUGCUUAACACAUGCAAGUCGAACGCUGAAGCUUGGUGCUUGCACUGGGUGGAUGAGUGGCGAACGGGUGAGUAAUACGUGAGUAACCUGCCCUUGACUCUGGGAUAAGCCUGGGAAACUGGGUCUAAUACUGGAUACGACAUGUCACCGCAUGGUGGUGUGUGGAAAGGGUUUUACUGGUUUUGGUUAGGCUCACGGCUUAUCGGCUUGUUGGUUGGGUAAUGGCUCACCAAGGCGACGACGGGUAGCCGGCCUGAGAGGGUGACCGGCCACACUGGGACUGAGGCACGGCCCAGACUCCUACGGGAGGCAGCAGGCGGGAAUAUUGCACAAUGGGCGGAAGCCUGAUGCAGCGACGCCGCGUGAGGGAUGACGGCCUUCGGGUUGUAAACCUCUUUCAGCACGGAAGAAGCGAAAGUGACGGUACGUGCAGAAGAAGCGCCGGCUAACUACGUG
rnacentral:rRNA from 1 species